GAAAAACUGCAGAUUCCAAGAACAGCUUCUGUCCUUCUUCAUGGACGAUGUUUUUGGUCAACUCCAAUUACAAGUCUGCAAGGAAAGACACUUUGUGGAAGAAUUUCAUAGCCUUAGGCAGCAAUUGAGCCGCUGUGUUCUGUCCUGGGUGAGAAAGACCAGUCUGAUCAAGUCCCCGGUCUCUGGUGCUUGUAUUCUUCUUACCGGCAGAGAGAUGUAAACAAAGAAGGCCAGUGAAUCAUGAAAUGUGACAUGUGUGAUGCUGAGUUUUCUGUGUGACCCGGUCACUGUGGAAGCACAAAGGGGGAGGUAGUUAAUUCUGUCCACCUUGAGGUUUGGAGAGCAUGUAUUAUUGAAGGAGGUGAUGACUGCAUUCGGUUUCCUGGGGAAUGAGGGGGCAGGAAUGGCGGGGGGAGAAGCUUGAAUAAAGCUUGAUGGUGUGAAAUGACAUAUCAUAUUCAGGAAACAGCAAGUAACUGAGUAUGAAUGUAGAAUGGCUUGGGGAAUGUCUAGAGGAGGCUGGUUGUUUAGAUUUUAGCCAGGAGAUGCUAAUAAAGGGCUGGCUAAGAGAGGCAUGAUAACACCGGCUAAGGAUAAGGAUUGUCCUGAAGAAAAAUGUAAAGCCAUCGAAGGGCAGGGCAAGAUCACAUACUCUUAUGUUUCAGAGAAAGCUCUUUGGUGAAGGUAGAGGGAUGUAGGUGGGGGGGUGAGGCUCUAGGGAGAAAAAAGUAUAUAAAAAGCAUUGCAAUAAUGUGGCUGGAGUGAACACACUCGGGUCAUAGGGAAGGGCGAGGAGAGUCUGAGGAAGAGAGGAGAGUCUGGGAUGAGCCUAAGGUUCUUACUUGGGGGGCUGAGUGGGAGGGGGUGUCAUUCAUUAAACAGAGAAGGAGAAAGCUUGGAGUAAGGUAAAUGAGUUGCUGUCAGACCUGCUAGAAGUUUCAGGAGUCCCACGCAUCAGAGUAAUCAUAAGAGUAGUAUGUAAGCUUUCCAUAUAUAUUUUGGGUAUGUUUAAUAUUUAUGAUGUAUUUAUUAACAGAUUUAUUGAGAUAUAAUCAACACACGAUUAACUGGACAUAGUUCAAGUGUGUAAUUUGGUAGUCUUGACAUGCGUAUACCCUUGUGAAGCCAUCGCCACAAUUAAGAUAAUGGACAUAUCCAUCACCCCCAAAAGUUUCUUGGUGCCCCUUUGUGAUCUGUCUCUGUCCCCAGGGAAUCACUGAUCUGCCUUUUGUCACUGUAGAUUUUUUUGCAUUUCCUAGAAUUUAAUGUAAAUGGCCUAUAUGUUACACUCUUUUAUGUCUGACUUUUUCCACCCAGCAUAAUUAUUUUGAGAUUCACUCGUGUUACUGAGUGUAUUGGUCAUUUAUUCCUUUUUUAUUGCCAUGUAGUAUUCUAUGAUAAUGAUGUAGUACAAUUUGUUUGUUUGCCUACUGAUGGGUUUUUUUUCCCCCAGCUUUCAAGCUAUCACAAGUAAAGCUGCUAUGAAUAUUUGUAUGCAAGUCUUUGGACAGGUAUUUUCAUUUCUCUUGGGUAAAUACCUAGGAGUGGCAUAGUUGGAUCAUAAGUUAGGUGUAUGUUUUGUAAGAGAUGGCCAAACUGUUUUCCAAAGUGACUAUCCCAUUUUGUGUUCUCACCAGUAGUGUGUGAGAGUUCACUACUCAGGAUCCUUGCUAUCGCUUAGUAUGGUCAAUGUUUACACAUGCCAGCCAGUGUAGUUGUGGUAUCACAUUGUGUUUUCAAUUUGCAUUUCCCCAGUCAUUAAUGAUGUUGAGUAUCUCUUGAUUUGCCUAUUUAUCAUCAAUAUAUCCUUGGUGAAGUGUCUGUUUGGAUAUUUUGCCCAUUAAAAAAAGAGGUUGGUCAUUUUCUCACUGGGUUUUGCGUAUGUUUGUUUUCAAGUAUAUUCUGCAUGCAAAUCUUUUAUCAGAUAUAUAAUUUGCAAAUAUUUUUCUCUUGGUCUGUGACAUCUUUUCAUUAUCUUAACAGUGUCUUUUGAAGAGAAGACAUUUUACAUUUUGAUGGUGUCUAACUUAUCAAUUUUUUUCUUCAAUGAAUCAUGCCUUUUGUGCCACAUUUAAGAAAUCUUUAUUUAACACAAGGUCACAAAGAACUUUUACUAUGUUUUCAUUUACAAUUUUUUCUACUUUUAGGUUUCACAUCUAGGUCAAUGCCUUUUCACCUGUUGAGAUGACCAUGUGAUUUUUAUUUUUUAGACGAUUGAUACCAGUUACAUUGGUUUUCAAAGUUAUGCCAACUUUGCAUUUCCGGGAUGUACUCUAUUUGGUAAUAAUGCGUUGUCCCUAUCAUGUAUUGUUAGGUUCAACUUGCUAAAAUUUUAUUAAUAAGUUUUGUAUCUAUGUUUAUGAGGGACAUUUGUAUCCUUUCCUUUAAUAUCUUUGUCUCAUUUUUGGAAUUAGUAUAAUGCUGAUCUCAUUCAGUAAGUUGGAAAGUAUUCUCCCCUCUUUCAUUUUCUGGAAGGGCUUGCAUAGAAUUGAUCCUUUGAAGCCAUUUUUUGAAGCCAAUGAUCCAGUGAAGCCAUUUUUGCCUGGAGUUUUGUGUAUGGGAAGAUUUUAAACUAAGUAUUUUAGUUUUUAAUAGCUGCAUAGCUAUUGAUGUUCUUAAUUUCUCCUUGAGUGAGCUUUGAUAAUUUGUGUUUUUCAAUUUUAUUAUUCAUUUCAUCAAAUCUACCAAAUUUUAGCCACAAAAUUGUUCAUGUUAUUUCUUUAGUAUCCUUUAAAAAAUUUUUUUUAAAUUUAAUGUUUAUUUAUUUUGAAAGAGAGACAGACAGACAGAGUGUGAGCAGGGGAGGGGCAGAGAGAGAAGGAGACACAGAAUCUGAAGCAGGCUCCAGGCUCUGAGCUGUCAGCACAGGGCCUGAGGCGAGGCUCAAACUCAAGAGCCGUGAGAUCAUGACGUGAGCAGAAGUCAGACGCUUAAUCGACUGAGCCACCCAGGCAACCCACUUUAAUAUCCUGUUAAUGUUUGUAAUAGUAUGGGAUGAUGUCAUUUCUCUCAUUGUGGAUAUUGGUAUUUUUUGUCUUCACCCUUUUUUCCCCUGAAAUUUUAUUGAAAUUCAUCAAUUUUAUUGACUUCUCAAAGAAUCAGUUUUUAGUUUGAUUUCCUCUAUUGAUUUUCAGUUUUGAUUUCACUGAUUUUCAUUCUGAGUUUUAUUAUUCCUUUCUUCUGUUACAUUUGAAUUUACUCUUUUUUUUCUGGUUUCUUAAGUUGAAAGAUUGGGUCACUAAUUUGAGAUCUUUCAGUGUUUUCUUAAGGUGAAAGCUGAAGUUAUUAGUUUGAGGUUUUUUUGUCUUUUCAGUAUAGGUAUUCAGUGUUUUGAAUUUCCCUUUUGGUACAAAGUACUUUAGCUACAUCCCACAAUCUUUGAUAUGUUGUGCUAUUUUCAUUUACCUUGAAGUACUUUCUAGUUUCCUUUUUGAUUUCUUCUUAGAUCCAUUUGGUACUUGGAAGGGAAUCCUUUAGUUUCUGUAUAUUUGGGGAUUUUUCCAGAUGCCUUUUUGAUUUUGAUUCCUAAUUUGAUUUCAUUUUCGUCAAAGAGCAUCCUUUAUGUGACUCAAAGCCUUUGAUAUUUGUUGAGCCAUGUUUUAUGGCCCAGAAUUUGGUUACUUUUGAUAAACGUUCUAUGUGUAUUUGAAAAGAAUUGAUAUCUUGCUGUUGGGUGGGGUGUUCUAUAAAUAUCACUUAGAUCUAAUUGUUACUAUUUUCCAAUUUUUCUAUAUCUUUACUGAUUUUUUUUUUUUACUUAUUUUAUCAUUUAUGGACAUCUCUGGCAUUAAUUGUGAAUUUGUCUAUUUCUCUAUCAGUAUUCAUGGUAUAGUAGCUCAUGUAUUUUGAAGUUCUGCUAUCAGGUGCGUAAGUAUUUAUGACUACAAUAUCGUCUUGAUGAAUUGACCCCUUUAUUUUAUAAAAGUACCCGAUGGUCCUUCAUAAUAUUCUUUGUUCUGAAAUCCACUUUUUCUGAUAAAAAUAGAACCACUUCAGCUUUCCUUUGAUUAGUGUUAGCAUGAUAUAUCUUUCUCUGCCCUUUCACUGUUAACUUGUUUGUGCCUUUUAUUUAAAGUGGAUUUCUUUUAGGCAGCAUAUAUUUAGGGUCUGUGUGUUUUUAUCCAUGCCACCAAUCUUUUUAUUGGUAGGUUUAGAUCAUUUACC